rnacentral:tRNA from 1 species
GGGCGCUUGGUCUAGGGGUAUGAUUUUCGCUUCGCAUCGUGCAGUGUUGUGCAGAUGUCUGUGAAAGGUCGUGGGUUCAAUUCCCACAGCGUCCA